AUGUCACCUGGAACAUGGGACAUUGAAAAGACAAUAGCAAUGUGUGUCCAAGAAGAGGACAGACUCAAAGCCGCACAUGAUGGUUCAAUCAACUAUGUGAAGGAUUACAAGAAAAAGAACUACAAUCAAAACAACAAAAGUUCUCCUUCAAAGAAUGGAAAAGCCCCCUAUCAGCAUCAGCAUCAGCAACAACCUUUCUCAGUGGACAAAGACACGUGUCUCCACUGCAAGCAGAAAGGGCAUUACAAGAAAGACUGUGCUGCUUGGCUGAAGUCAGUCAUGGCAAAAAGAGGGAUUCCAUUCGACGCGAACUAUGCUAAGAAGCGAAAGACGCAUUGA
rnacentral:rRNA from 1 species